rnacentral:lncRNA from 1 species
GUUAAAAGUCAGACAUUCUAUAUGAGGUCCAUUAUAAGCUAUCUUUUUCCAACUGUACUGUAUAAAAAUUUAAAUCCUGAUCGAAUGUACUAAUUUUAUACUAUACCAGCUUAUUCUUUAUUCUGUAGCAUCUCGGACUUCUAUUCAAAGUGAACUUCAUCGGGAUAGGAGGCGGCCAGAGAUCACCAUUGUGGCAGCGGAGCCGCUGAGGCCAGCCUCGUGGUUUCCAGGAGGCCCACCCCCAGGCCUGGGAUUUCCCCCGACUCCUGCAGCUGGCCCUUGGAGGCCAAAUGAGCUGGUUCCUGCUGAGGUGAAUUGCAUUUUAUUUUCGAAAUUAAAUUCAGAAGAUAAGAAACAAGUAGACUCUCAACACCUUGGCUACUGUGCAUGGUUGUCUUUAAGUUUUUUGUUUUUUAUUUUGCAGCUCCCACCCUCUUAUGAACAAGUCAUAAAAGAAAUCAACCAAGUUCAAGUUAAUACUACAAACAAUAAUAAUGCUGCUGCCCCUCCAAGGCACACUAUUACUUCUGCAACUCAGACGGACUUUUUAGAAGAAAUAGACAACCAUCUGCCUCAAAGUAAUGCCAAUAAUUUGUCUUCCCUAAUUCUGACCACUUCUAGGGAAGUAAUCAGUAGGCAGCCAGCCUUUAAAAUAAUUUGCAAUUUGUGCAUAAUUCAGUGAGCCCUGCUUUCCUUUCCAGUCAUUGGGAUCACUGUGGGCUUUCUUUUGGGGAUAUGCAGUGAUUAUUAUAACAGAUCAUUCUUAAGAGAUGCCCUCAUCUUUUGGGCUCACCCUCGUUCAGAUCACAGAAACUUCGUCUGUUUAACUUUCAUUGCAUAUUGCUGUGGAUGCCCUUUAUUCCCAUUGAGAAGGAUUUUUUAUUAAUAACUUGGACUUUAUAGAAUACUAAGGGUGAUUGUUAUGACUGUGGAUGCCCUUUAUUCCCAUUGAGAAGGAUUUUUUAUUAAUAACUUGGACUUUACAGAAUACUAAGGGUGAUUGUUAUGUUAGGCUUUUUAAGACUAUUUUAUUAGAGAC